rnacentral:rRNA from 1 species
UCUGCCCUGCACUUCGGGAUAAGCCUGGGAAACUGGGUCUAAUACCGGAUAUGAACUCCUGCCGCAUGGUGGGGGUUGGAAAGUUUUUCGGUGCAGGAUGAGCCCGCGGCCUAUCAGCUUGUUGGUGGGGUAAUGGCCUACCAAGGCGACGACGGGUAGCCGGCCUGAGAGGGUGAUCGGCCACACUGGGACUGAGACACGGCCCAGACUCCUACGGGAGGCAGCAGUGGGGAAUAUUGCACAAUGGGCGAAAGCCUGAUGCAGCGACGCCGCGUGGGGGAUGACGGUCUUCGGAUUGUAAACCCCUUUCAGUAGGGACGAAGCGCAAGUGACGGUACCUGCAGAAGAAGCACCGGCUAACUACGUGCCAGCAGCCGCGGUAAUACGUAGGGUGCGAGCGUUGUCCGGAAUUACUGGGCGUAAAGAGCUCGUAGGCGGUUUGUCACGUCGUCUGUGAAAUCCCUCGGCUUAACCGGGGGCGUGCAGGCGAUACGGGCAGACUUGAGUACUACAGGGGAGACUGGAAUUCCUGGUGUAGCGGUGAAAUGCGCAGAUAUCAGGAGGAACACCGGUGGCGAAGGCGGGUCUCUGGGUAGUAACUGACGCUGAGGAGCGAAAGCAUGGGUAGCGAACAGGAUUAGAUACCCUGGUAGUCCAUGCCGUAAACGGUGGGCGCUAGGGUGGGGGGGGUCCUUCCACGGACUCCGUGCCGUAGCUAACGCAUUAAGCGCCCCGCCUGGGGGAGUACGGCCGCAAGGCUAAACUCAAGGAAUUGACGGGGCCCGCACAGCGGCGAGCAAUGGUGGAUUAAUUCGAUGCAACGCGAAGAACCUUACCUAGCUUGACAUAUACAGACGACGGCAGAA